AAUCCGGGAAACCGGGGCUAAUACCGGAUAACAUUUUGAACCGCAUGGUUCGAAAUUGAAAGGCGGCUUCGGCUGUCACUUAUGGAUGGACCCGCGUCGCAUUAGUAGUUGGUGAGGUAACGGCUCACCAAGGCAACGAUGCGUAGCCGACCUGAGAGGGUGAUCGGCCACACUGGGACUGAGACACGGCCCAGACUCCUACGGGAGGCAAGUAGGGAAUCUUCCGCAAUGGACGAAAGUCUGACGGAGCAACGCCGCGUGAGUGAUGAAGGCUUUCGGGUCGUAAAACUCUGUUGUUAGGGAAGAACAAGUGCUAGUUGAAUAAGCUGGCACCUUGACGGUACCUAACCAGAAAGCCACGGCUAACUACGUGCCAGCAGCCGCGGUAAUACGUAGGUGGCAAGCGUUAUCCGGAAUUAUUGGGCGUAAAGCGCGCGCAGGUGGUUUCUUAAGUCUGAUGUGAAAGCCCACGGCUCAACCGUGGAGGGUCAUUGGAAACUGGGAGACUUAGUGCAGAAGAGGAAAGUGGAAUUCCAUGUGUAGCGGUGAAAUGCGUAGAGAUAUGGAGGAACACCAGUGGCGAAGGCGACUUUCUGGUCUGUAACUGACACUGAGGCGCGAAAGCGUGGGGAGCA
rnacentral:rRNA from 1 species